rnacentral:rRNA from 1 species
UUGAUCCUGGCUCAGGAUGAACGCUGGCGGUGUGGAUAAGGCAUGCAAGUCGAGCGGAUUAUUUUCGCAAGAAAAUAAUCAGCGGCGAACGAGUUAGUAACACGUAGGAACUUACCCCAAAAACGGGAAUAACUCUCCGAAAGGAAAGCUAAUACCCGAUAGUCCCCGCCUCGGCGGGGUAAAGGCGAAAGCCGUUUUGGGAGAGGCCUGCGGGCUAUCAGCUAGUUGGUAGGGUAAUGGCCUACCAAGGCGAUGACGGCUAGGGGGCGCGAGAGCGUGUUCCCCAACGUAAGGGACUGAGACACGGCCCUAACUCCUACGGGAGGCAGCAGUCGAGAAUAUUUCGCAAUGGGCGAAAGCCUGACGAAGCGACACCGCGUGAAGGAAGAAGGCCCUCGGGUCGUAAACUUCUUUUGACAGAGAACAAGCCGCAAGGUUGAGCGUAUCUGUAGAAUAAGGCGCUGCUAACUUCGUGCCAGCAGCAGCGGUAAUACGAAGGCGCCAAGCGUUAUCCGGAUUUAUUGGGCGUAAAGAGUUCAAAGGGGGUCAUGUUAGUCCGAUGUCAAAGCUCGCAACUCAAUUGCGAAAGCGCGUCGGAAACGGCAUGACUUGAGGAAAUUAGAGGCAAGUAGAACGGCUGGUGUAGGGGUGAAAUCCGUUGAUAUCAGCCGGAAUACCAAAGGCGAAGGCAUCUUGCUGGAAUUUUCCUGACCCUGAAAGAACGAAAGCGUGGGUAGCGAAUGGGAUUAGAUACCCCAGUAGUCCACGCCCUAAACGAUGAGUGCUCGCUGUUUGAAGUAUCGACCCUUCAAGUGGCUUAGUUAACACGUUAAGCACUCCGCCUGGGAAGUACGAGCGCAAGCUUAAAACUCAAAGGAAUAGACGGGGACUCGCACAAGCGGUGGAGCAUGUGGUUCAAUUCGACAAUAACCGAAAAACCUUACCUGGCCUUGACACUCUAACAAUAACCUCGCGAAAGCAAGGCGUGUUCACAAGACGGUUAGAGCAGGUACUGCAUGGUUGUCGUCAGCUCGUGCCUUGAGGUGUUCCGUUAAGUCGGGAAACGAGCGCAACCCCUGUUGCCAGUUACAAGUGUCUGGCGAUACCGCCCCGAGAGACGGGGAGGAAGGAGGGGACAACGUCAAAUCAGCAUGGUCCUUUGAUGGCCAAGGCUACACACGUGCUACAAUGGGAAAUACAAAGGGUUGCCAAGCCGUAAGGCGGAGCUAAUCCCAUCAAAAUUUCCCCA